AGAGUUUGAUCCUGGCUCAGAACGAACGCUGGCGGCGUGCCUAACACAUGCAAGUCGAACGAGAAAGGGGCUUCGGCCCUGAGUAAAGUGGCGCACGGGUGAGUAACACGUAGGUAACCUGCCUCUAAGAUUGGGAUAACAUGUCGAAAGACGUGCUAAUACCGAAUGAGACCACAGUUUCCUCGGAAACAGGGGUCAAAGGUAGCCUCUAUUUAUAAGCUAUCACUUAGAGAUGGGCCUGCGUACCAUUAGCUAGUUGGUAGGGUAACGGCCUACCAAGGCAAAGAUGGUUAGCUGGUCUGAGAGGAUGAUCAGCCACACUGGAACUGAGACACGGUCCAGACUCCUACGGGAGGCAGCAGUGGGGAAUAUUGCGCAAUGGGCGAAAGCCUGACGCAGCAACGCCGCGUGAGUGAUGAAGGCCUUCGGGUCGUAAAGCUCUGUCGGAGGGAACGAAUGUUUCUGAGGUUAACAGCCUCAGGAAGUGACGGUACCCUUAAAGGAAGCACCGGCUAACUCUGUGCCAGCAGCCGCGGUA
rnacentral:rRNA from 1 species